AUUGAACGCUGGCGGCAGGCUUAACACAUGCAAGUCGAGCGAGCGGCGGACGGGUGAGUAAUGUCUGGGAAACUGCCUGAUGGAGGGGGAUAACUACUGGAAACGGUAGCUAAUACCGCAUACCAUCAGAUGUGCCCAGAGGGGAUUAGCUAGUAGGUGGGGUAAAGGCUCACCUAGGCGACGAUCCCUAGCUGGUCUGAGAGGAUGACCAGCCACACUGGAACUGAGACACUGUCCAGACUCCUACGGUAGGCAGCAGUGGGGAAUAUUGCACAAUGGGCGAAAGCCUGAUGCAGCCAUGCCGCGUGGAUGAAGAAGGCCUUCGGGUUGUAAAGCACUUUCAGCGGGGAGGCGUUACUCGCAGAAGAAGCACCGGCUAACUCCGUGCCAGCAGCCGCGGUAAUUC
rnacentral:rRNA from 1 species